rnacentral:rRNA from 1 species
UACGUAGGCAGCGAGCGCUGUUCGGAAUUACUGGGCGUAAAGAGUGUGUAGGCGGUGCUCUAAGUUCGGUGUGAAAUCUCCUGGCUCAACUGGGAGGGUGCGCCGGAAACUGGAGUGCUUGAGCGUGGGAGAGGAAAGCGGAAUUCCUGGUGUAGCGGUGAAAUGCGUAGAUAUCAGGAGGAACACCUGUGGUGUAGACGGCUUUCUGGACCGUAACUGACGCUGAGACACGAAAGCGUGGGUAGCAAACAGG